rnacentral:rRNA from 1 species
UACGUAGGGCGCAAGCGUUGUCCGGAAUUAUUGGGCGUAAAGAGCUCGUAGGCGGUUUGUCGCGUCGGAUGUGAAAGCCCGGGGCUUAACCCCGGGUCUGCAUUCGAUACGGGCAGACUGGAGUGUGGUAGGGGAGAUCGGAAUUCCUGGUGUAGCGGUGAAAUGCGCAGAUAUCAGGAGGAACACCGGUGGCGAAGGCGGAUCUCUGGGCCACUACUGACGCUGAGGAGCGAAAGCGUGGGGAGCGAACAGG